AGGAUGAAUGCUGGCGGCGCGCCUAACGACAUGCAAGUCGAGCGGAAAGGCCCUUCGGGGUACUCGAGCGGCGGACGGCUGAGUAACGCGUGGGAACAUGCCCCAAAGUGAGGAAUAACUGCCCGAAAGGGUAGCUAAUGCCGCAUAUGAUCUUCGGAUUAAAGGAUUUAUCCGCUUUGGGAGUGGCCCGCGUACGAUUAGGUAGUUGGUGAGGUAAAGGCUCACCAAGCCCACGAUCGUUAACUGGUCUGAGAGGAUGAUCAGUCAGACUGGAACUGAGACACGGUCCAGACUCCUACGGGAGGCAGCAGUGAGGAAUCUUCCACAAUGGGCGAAAAGCCUGAUGGAGCGACGCCGCGUGCAGGAUGAAGGCUUCGGUGUAAACUGCUUUAUAAGUGAAGAUAUGACGGUAACUUAUGAAUAAGCACCGGCUAACUACGUGCCAGCAGCCGC
rnacentral:rRNA from 1 species